rnacentral:rRNA from 1 species
UGGUAUCCUGUCUGAAUAUGGGGGGACCAUCCUCCAAGGCUAAAUACUCCUGACUGACCGAUAGUGAACCAGUACCGUGAGGGAAAGGCGAAAAGAACCCCGGCGAGGGGAGUGAAAAAGAACCUGAAACCGUGUACGUACAAGCAGUGGGAGCCUCUUAAUGGGGUGACUGCGUACCUUUUGUAUAAUGGGUCAGCGACUUAUAUUCUGUAGCAAGGUUAACCGAAUAGGGGAGCCGAAGGGAAACCGAGUCUUAACUGGGCGUUAAGUUGCAGGGUAUAGACCCGAAACCCGGUGAUCUAGCCAUGGGCAGGUUGAAGGUUGGGUAACACUAACUGGAGGACCGAACCGACUAAUGUUGAAAAAUUAGCGGAUGACUUGUGGCUGGGGGUGAAAGGCCAAUCAAACCGGGAGAUAGCUGGUUCUCCCCGAAAGCUAUUUAGGUAGCGCCUCGUGAAUUCAUCUCCGGGGGUAGAGCACUGUUUCGGCAAGGGGGUCAUCCCGACUUACCAACCCGAUGCAAACUGCGAAUACCGGAGAAUGUUAUCACGGGAGACACACGGCGGGUGCUAACGUCCGUCGUGAAGAGGGAAACAACCCAGACCGCCAGCUAAGGUCCCAAAGUCAUGGUUAAGUGGGAAACGAUGUGGGAAGGCCCAGACAGCCAGGAUGUUGGCUUAGAAGCAGCCAUCAUUUAAAGAAAGCGUAAUAGCUCACUGGUCGAGUCGGCCUGCGCGGAAGAUGUAACGGGGCUAAACCAUGCACCGAAGCUGCGGCAGCGACACUAUGUGUUGUUGGGUAGGGGAGCGUUCUGUAAGCCUGUGAAGGUGGCCUGUGAGGGUUGCUGGAGGUAUCAGAAGUGCGAAUGCUGACAUAAGUAACGAUAAAGCGGGUGAAAAGCCCGCUCGCCGGAAGACCAAGGGUUCCUGUCCAACGUUAAUCGGGGCAGGGUGAGUCGACCCCUAAGGCGAGGCCGAAAGGCGUAGUCGAUGGGAAACAGGUUAAUAUUCCUGUACUUGGUGUUACUGCGAAGGGGGGACGGAGAAGGCUAUGUUGGCCGGGCGACGGUUGUCCCGGUUUAAGCGUGUAGGCUGGU